GGAGUGGAGCCUGCGGCUUAAUUUGACUCAACACGGGGAACCUCACCCGGCCCGGACACCGCGAGGAUUGACAGAUUGAGAGCUCUUUCUCGAUUCGGUGGGUGGUGGUGCAUGGCCGUUCUUAGUUGGUGGAGCGAUUUGUCUGGUUAAUUCCGAUAACGAACGAGACUCUAGCCGGUUAAGUAGCCCGGAGCGGUUUUUGAUCUUUGCCGUCCGUCCUUUGUUUUUUCCCUUUUUCCCGUCCUCGGCCGACCGGUUCGGCGGGUACGAGGGAAGGCGGGGGCGGAGGGGUCAUCCGCAGGCCGUCCGCGGUCUGCGGGGAAACCUUUUCGUCACUUUACCUUCUCGCCGUCUUUGCCGUUUCCCGAGCGGUCGAGACGGAAGGGGAGCUUAGGCGGAAGCAUAACCGAAGGCCGCCGGCUUUUACAGGAAGCUUCUUAGAGGGACGAGCGGCGUUCAGCCGCCCGAGAUUGAGCGAUAACAGGUCUGUGAUGCCCUUAGAUGUCCGGGGCCGCACGCGCGCUACACUGAAGGGCUCAGCGUGCUCGUUUCUCCCGAGCCGACAGGCUCGGGGAACCCGUUGAAACCCUUUCGUGCUAGGGACAGGGACUUGCAAUUGUGUCCCUCCAACGAGGAAUUCCCAGUAAGCGCGAGUCAUCAGCUCGCGUUGAUUACGUCCCUGCCCUUUGUACACACCGCCCGUCGCUACUACCGAUUGAACGAUUUAGUGAGGUCUUCGGACCGGUGGCCGUUCCGAGCCGUCGUUACCUUCCGGGGUCGGCGGUUUUUUCUUUCGGGGUCGGCCGGCCGGGAAGAUGCCC
rnacentral:rRNA from 1 species